AAAAUUAUUACAAAAAUUUAUAUAACAAAUGACACAUUCAUCUUAGAAAUGAGGUUUUUUCAUCAAUUCUUUGCAUAAAUAAAUGUAUUCUUUAGCAUCAUAUUAAAUUAUCCAUCAUACAAAUUUCAUAAAUGUAUUCUUUAGCAUCAUAUUAAAUUAUCCAUCAUACAAAUUUCAUAAAUGAGGUCUGAUGAGGAUAAAAUAUAUGUAGUAGGCCUAACUAUUCAGAUGCAUUUGAAGGGUACAAUGUUGUCAUUUAGAUGUUUGUCCGGCAAAACAUGGCUUUAAACUUGUAUAGACGCAUAAACAUUUCGUUCUUCCAUCACAGUGUGCAUCAAUGAAACGAGGUCCAUUAUCUUUCUUGCAGUCAGCCACACAAAAUGGAUUUUCUGGAUCACAAGCAGCCACAAUUUCUAAGUUACAUGUGAACGUUUUUGCAUUUGUUGAGAGAAUUUGUGUCAUUACGAACAUGCCUGAAAAAAAAAGAAAAAAAAGAAUUGAUAGAGAGAAAAAUAAUUGUACAAAUUGAAUAGCAAAUAGCAAUUGUAGUCAUACCGCAAAUACAAGCAACGAAAUAAAGGGAAUAGCGAGGAAAUGCUCCUAAGUGUUCCAUUAUUAUAGAUGAACAAUUUAUUUAGUGAAUAAACUAGUCACUUAUCUUGUCUUUUAUACUAGAG
rnacentral:lncRNA from 1 species